rnacentral:rRNA from 1 species
GACGAACGCUGGCGGCGUGCUUAACACAUGCAAGUCGAACGGAAAGGCCCUGCUUUUGUGGGGUGCUCGAGUGGCGAACGGGUGAGUAACACGUGAGUAACCUGCCCUUUACUUUGGGAUAACUUCAGGAAACUGGGGCUAAUACCGGAUAGGAGUUCCUGCUGCAUGGUGGGGGUUGGAAAGUUUCGGCGGUUGGGGAUGGACUCGCGGCUUAUCAGCUUGUUGGUGGGGUAGUGGCUUACCAAGUCUUUGACGGGUAGCCGGCCUGAGAGGGUGACCGGCCACAUUGGGACUGAGAUACGGCCCAGACUCCUACGGGAGGCAGAAGUGGGGAAUAUUGCACAAUGGGCGGAAGCCUGAUGCAGCAACGCCGCGUGCGGGAUGACGGCCUUCGGGUUGUAAACCGCUUUCGCCUGUGACGAAGCGUGAGUGACGGUAAUGGGUAAAGAAGCACCGGCUAACUACGUG